UAGACGCGAAAAGUGUCAUGACAUGCCGACUUUGUGAAUGACCAAUUUUUGAACGCACCUUGCACCUAUCCAUGGGAUGGGUGUGCUUGUGUGAGUGUGGGACGGAGCUUGGUUAAAGAUUGCCAGAGAUGAGGCGUGCGACCAGAGCUGCCUUGAAAGACAUGGCGAGCACGUGAUGAGCGCCCUGGGAUACAUCUACAGGCCGCGAGACACGUGGACGUCAACGAGAGAGGGAGUGUGAGUGAGUGAGAUCUUAAAAGGGAGAGAUAACAUGCUCUCUCUUUACGCUUUCACCCACCACACCCCCACCUCUACACACUACAUACCCACCUCACAUCAAGCAAGACCACCCGCUGAACUUAA
rnacentral:misc_RNA from 1 species